UAUAGCAAUGACAAUUAUUGCAAUAACUCUAACGACACAAGCAAUGGCUCACAAGCAUUUUCUAUGUGUCAAGUGCUUAUUAGGAUUUCAUUUAAUCCCAUAAUGACUUCUGAGGUGGGUAUUGCCUUUCUUUGUUAUAGGAAAGGAAAUUGAUACUCAGAGAUUUUAAAGGAUUUGCAGCUAGCAAGAGGAAGUGCUGUGAUAAAAGUCUCUCUUUGAGGGCCCAACAUCCACAGUGUUCCAAUACACUAGGCUACCUUUCUAAGUAGGAAAACAACAACAACAACAACUAUGAAAGCAGGUAAAUUAUAUCCAUAAAUUUAUUUUAAUUUUUUUGUUGUGUAGGUGCUCUGGCUUUCCUUGCAGUAAAUUUGGAGUUUGGAGAAAGAAUCCUCUGAAGAGCUAAAGCAUCUCUUGCCCGGGAAGAGGUACUCAAAGGAAGAGCAUUAUUGAACUGCACUGUUUUCUCCUGUCUGAAGCUAACCCCAGCAUGCCUAGUAGGAAAACUGAAUAAAAAUGGCAGAAUCGUUAUCCUGAACCAAUUCCCUAGAUGUCCCCUGUGCAACAUUUGUAAAGAAAUCACUUGGCAUCUCAUAGAGGCUCGAUAAUGACUUAAAUUAUGAUUAGCCAGAACAGCCAGUAAAGGGGUGAUUCGAGGAUGCCUAUUAGGACCUUCUGCUCCUAAAUACCAGGCUGGGGAUUAUGGCUGGGACUUGGCAGAGGAUGGAGGAGCAGAAUUGUGUAGCUGCAUGGAUCAUUCACCAGCCCAAUUCCCUCUUGUCAGUAUGCUAAUAUGCACCUCUUGGAACUUCUAUGCUCCGAU
rnacentral:lncRNA from 12 species